rnacentral:lncRNA from 1 species
CCGUUGGAUGUUAGUGUUUAGCUUCAAGGCUUUUACUGCUGUCACUUUUGUGGAUGCUAUUCUGAUGCUAAAAGCUAUAGCGUCUAUUUUUUGCCUACUUUUCUGUUGAUGCUAAAACCCAUUUUUCUUGUAGUGUCUAAAGAAGGCACAACUUGGUUAGAUAAUUACAUGCACGUGAUAUUAAAUGUGUGGUGAUUAUAAAGUAAUUUUUCAUGUGUAUAAUAGAUUUGCGAAAGUAGAUGUUGCACCGAUAGAUUUGCAUAUGUUACCGUCGGUGCUGCACUUGGAUUUUGUGUGGUCUUCCUAACUACAUAUUUCCUUAUCUGUUAGUAUGCUUAUCAUUUUCUUUGUUUUCUACUUUUUCUUUUUUCUUUUGACUUCUGAGGGUUUUGGUCUAGUCCCCCUCUUGUAUAUACUUUUCUCUUUUUUAAUAAUAUUUUUGAGUUUGGCGGCAAAGGAUGGAGGUUUCGCGGAGUGCCAACUUAAAUGGGAUGUCGUUGUUUCCUCUUGAUGUAUGUCCUUUCUCCUGACUUAUAAUAAAAAAAACCAAAAAAUUGCAUCCCCCCUCCCCUUUCAGAACUCGAGCUUCACUAACAAAAAAAAUGAGCCUCGAUUUAAAGCAAUGAUUUGUGAAAAGCAAUAUGAUAAUCUUAUUUUAUUUUUUUGUUGUAAC